rnacentral:rRNA from 1 species
CAGGCCUAACACAUGCAAGUCGAACGGUGGCAGCAAUGUCAUAGUGGCGCACGGGUGCGUAACACGUAGCUAACCUGCCCAGACCUGGGGGAUAGCCCGCCGAAAGGCGGAUUAAUACCGCAUAAGAUAAUAAGGUGGCAUCACCUAGUUAUUAAAGAUUUAUCGGGUUUGGAUGGGGUUGCGGGUCAUUAGCUAGUUGGUAAGGUAACGGCUUACCAAGGCGACGAUGACUAGGGGAGCUGAGAGGCUGGUCCCCCACACGGGCACUGAGAUACGGGCCCGACUCCUACGGGAGGCAGCAGUAGGGAAUAUUGGGCAAUGGGCGAGAGCCUGACCCAGCCAUGCCGCGUGCAGGAAGAAGGCUUUCUGAGUCGUAAACUGCUUUUGAUAGGGAAGAAUAACCAGUACGUGUACUGGGAUGACGGUACCUACAGAAUAAGCACCGGCUAACUCCGUGCCAGCAGCCGCGGUAAU